rnacentral:rRNA from 1 species
CCUACGGGGUGCAGCAGUGGGGAAUAUUGCACAAUGGGGGAAACCCUGAUGCAGCGACGCCGCGUGAACGAAGAAGGUAUUCGUAUCGUAAAGUUCUGUCCUAUGGGAAGAUAAUGACAGUACCAUAGAAGAAAGCUCCGGCUAAAUACGUGCCAGCAGCCGCGGUAAUACGUAUGGAGCGAGCGUUGUCCGGAAUUAUUGGGCGUAAAGGGUACGCAGGCGGUUUAAUAAGUCGAAUGUUAAAGAUCGGGGCUCAACCCCGUAAAGUAUUGGAAACUGAUAAACUUGAGUAGUGGAGAGGAAAGUGGAAUUCCUAGUGUAGUGGUGAAAUACGUAGAUAUUAGGAGGAAUACCAGUAGCGAAGGCGACUUUCUGGACACAAACUGACGCUGAGGUACGAAAGCGUGGGGAGCAAACAGGAUUAGAUACCCGGGUAGUC